rnacentral:tRNA from 1 species
GCCUGGCUAGCUCAAUCGGUAGAGCGUAAGACUCUUACAGUGUCUUCGACUCUGAAAAGUCAAUCUUAAGGCUGUGGGUUCGACCCCCACGUCGGGCU